UACGGAGGGUGCGAGCGUUGUCCGGAAUCAUUGGGCGUAAAGGGCGCGUAGGUGGUUUUGUAUGUCUGCCGUGAAAGGGUACAGCUUAACUGUAGCUUGUCGGUAGAAACUGCAAGACUUGAGGCUGGGAGGGGCUGGUGGAAUUCCCUGUGUAGCGGUGAAAUGCGUAGAGAUGGGGGAGAACACUCGUGGCGAAGGCGGCCAGCUAGACCAGUUCUGACACUGAGGCGCGACAGCGUGGGGAGCAAACAGG
rnacentral:rRNA from 1 species